AAGACUGAAGGUUGUCCUGCAAUAGUCAGCCCCGCCCACUCCUCACAACUCCUCUGAGCUGACUACUGACCAGUUCUCUGUCUAACAGGUCCGGAAUAUCUCUAAGACCUGGGUCUUACCCUACAGGAGGUCUAUGAGAGAUAACCUGUUUAAACUGGUGGUGAGAGAGGCUUGUCUAGCUCUAACUACCUUCGAUCCAGAAGUUACGACCCUCUACAGUUAAGGAACAGUCAACUGAGUAGCCCUCACAGCUGCGAAUUCCCAACAACCACUUCUGUUAAUGGUAACCCCCUCUCUUAAAUAACCUGCACUUGGAAAUGGCUAGAUUAGAUUUAGUGACUUAGAUUCAAGUCCCAGGGUCGUUAUUUUUAUACUCACUAAAGGAAAGUCCGAAGCCACCACAUUACUGGAAUCAUGUACACUAAUUUUACUUUAAUUGGAGAAACUAAAAUAACCAAUGACCCAAUUAAUUUCAAUGUCCACCAACCUCUACAAAAUUUUAAAAAGAUAUAUUUUAUUAAGCAAGCUUUAGCAGGGAUAAGUGACAUACAGAUUAAUUAUUAGAGAUUACAUUUCUAAUUUAAAAUAAUAAAAUCAACAUAAACCAAACAUUUCAUCCUAACUCCCUUCCCUGACCUGUGUCACUAGUAAACUGAGAGAUGCUUUUGGGGAGCAGUUCAACUCAUACCCAGAUGGCAGUUGAUCUUGGCAACAGAAGUCUUUAAUUCCUUGGUUCAGAAUCUUUGUCUUUGUGUAGUAAAAUCCUCUUUAGAAUAGAAGCAAAGCUGAAUUGGUCCUUGUCCUUUGAACAUCCAAUUCUUCAUCCCUCCCGGGAUCUUUGUCUUUUCUCCAAGUCCGUUGCGGUUGGUUUGAGGUCGUUGGGUUGAGGCAGAGUCGGCGGUAGAAUCAGGAGCCGGGGCUGGGGGCUGAUGGAUCUUGUCCCUUCUUGGCGGCGCGAAGUCUCAACUUCCCCGUGGCUCUAGGGUGGGGUCCUCUGCUGAUGUUUCCUCUGCGUCCUCUUGUUGAUUCGUCUUGGCGCCGCGGACUAAGAGCGGUUUCUUCCUCUUUCUGCCGU